rnacentral:rRNA from 1 species
GACGCUGAAGAGAGGAGCUUGCUCUUCUUGGAUGAGUUGCGAACGGGUGAGUAACGCGUAGGUAACCUGCCUUGUAGCGGGGGAUAACUAUUGGAAACGAUAGCUAAUACCGCAUAACAAUGGAUGACACAUGUCAUUUAUUUGAAAGGGGCAAUUGCUCCACUACAAGAUGGACCUGCGUUGUAUUAGCUAGUAGGUGAGGUAACGGCUCACCUAGGCGACGAUACAUAGCCGACCUGAGAGGGUGAUCGGCCACACUGGGACUGAGACACGGCCCAGACUCCUACGGGAGGCAGCAGUAGGGAAUCUUCGGCAAUGGGGGCAACCCUGACCGAGCAACGCCGCGUGAGUGAAGAAGGUUUUCGGAUCGUAAAGCUCUGUUGUAAGUCAAGAACGAGUGUGAGAGUGGAAAGUUCACACUGUGACGGUAGCUUACCAGAAAGGGACGGCUAACUACGUGCCAGCAGCCGCGGUAAUACGUAGGUCCCGAGCGUUGUCCGGAUUUAUUGGGCGUAAAGCGAGCGCAGGCGGUUUGAUAAGUCUGAAGUUAAAGGCUGUGGCUCAACCAUAGUUCGCUUUGGAAACUGUCAAACUUGAGUGCAGAAGGGGAGAGUGGAAUUCCAUGUGUAGCGGUGAAAUGCGUAGAUAUAUGGAGGAACACCGGUGGCGAAAGCGGCUCUCUGGUCUGUAACUGACGCUGAGGCUCGAAAGCGUGGGGAGCGAACAGGAUUAGAUACCCUGGUAGUCCACGCCGUAAACGAUGAGUGCUAGGUGUUGGAUCCUUUCCGGGAUUCAGUGCCGCAGCUAACGCAUUAAGCACUCCGCCUGGGGAGUACGACCGCAAGGUUGAAACUCAAAGGAAUUGACGGGGGCCCGCACAAGCGGUGGAGCAUGUGGUUUAAUUCGAAGCAACGCGAAGAACCUUACCAGGUCUUGACAUCCCGAUGCUAUUUCUAGAGAUAGAAAGUUACUUCGGUACAUCGGUGACAGGUGGUGCAUGGUUGUCGUCAGCUCGUGUCGUGAGAUGUUGGGUUAAGUCCCGCAACGAGCGCAACCCCUAUUGUUAGUUGCCAUCAUUCAGUUGGGCACUCUAGCGAGACUGCCGGUAAUAAACCGGAGGAAGGUGGGGAUGACGUCAAAUCAUCAUGCCCCUUAUGACCUGGGCUACACACGUGCUACAAUGGUUGGUACAACGAGUUGCGAGUCGGUGACGGCAAGCUAAUCUCUUAAAGCCAAUCUCAGUUCGGAUUGUAGGCUGCAACUCGCCUACAUGAAGUCGGAAUCGCUAGUAAUCGCGGAUCAGCACGCCGCGGUGAAUACGUUCCCGGGCCUUGUACACACCGCCCGUCACACCACGAGAGUUUGUAACACCCGAAGUCGGUGAGGUAACCUUUGGAGCCAGCCGCC